UACGAAGGGGGCUAGCGUUGCUCGGAAUCACUGGGCGUAAAGGGUGCGUAGGCGGGUUUUUAAGUCAGGGGUGAAAUCCUGGAGCUCAACUCCAGAACUGCCUUUGAUACUGAAGAUCUCGAGUCCGGGAGAGGUGAGUGGAACUGCGAGUGUAGAGGUGAAAUUCGUAGAUAUUCGCAAGAACACCAGUGGCGAAGGCGGCUCACUGGCCCGGUACUGACGCUGAGGCACGAAAGCGUGGGGAGCAAACGGG
rnacentral:rRNA from 1 species